AACGAACGCUGGCGGCAGGCCUAACACAUGCAAGUCGAGCGAGGACUUCGGUCCUAGCGGCGGACGGGUGAGUAACGCGUGGGAACGUGCACUUUGCUACGGAAUAGCCCCGGGAAAGUGGGAGUAAUACCGUAUGUGCCCGAGAGGGGAAAGAUUUAUCGGCAAAGGAUUGGCCCGCGUUGGAUUAGGUAGUUGGUGGGGUAAUGGCCUACCAAGCCGACGAUCCAUAGCUGGUUUGAGAGGAUGAUCAGCCACACUGGGACUGAGACACGGUCCAGACUCCUACGGGAGGCAGCAGUGGGGAAUCUUAGACAAUGGGGGAAACCCUGAUCUAGCCAUGCCGCGUGAGCGAUGAAGGCCUUAGGGUUGUAAAGCUCUUUCAGUGGGGAAGAUAAUGACGGUACCCACAGAAGAAGCCCCGGCUAACUCCGUGCCAGCAGCCGCGGUAAGAC
rnacentral:rRNA from 1 species